ACCCGCCUACAUGAAGUCGGAAUUGCUAGUAAUCGCGGAUCAGCAUGCCGCGGUGAAUACGUUCCCGGGCCUUGUACACACCGCCCGUCAAGCCAUGGGAGCCGGGGGCACUUGAAGUACGCCGCCGCGAGGAGCGUCCUAGAGUGAAACUGGUGACUGGGGCUAAGUCGUAACAAGGUAAC
rnacentral:rRNA from 1 species